rnacentral:tRNA from 1 species
GAGAAUUUAGUUAAUUCAAUGAACAUAGAUCUGUCAAAACUAAGUAACUCAAGUAAUACUAUUCUAAGAGUAAUUCUCA